UUCAGCAAAAAUUACUUCUUCCAGAACCGCCACACACGAAUGCCACCACUCCACGCCUUUUAUCCCCCCGAGAAAGAGCCGUUUCGUUCCCUUGCCUUAUCCACGUGUCGCCUAUAUGGCCUUCCACGUCACCAAAGGCGGUCAAAUCCUGUCUGUCUCCAGACAGCUGACCACUGUCCGGUACGGCCCCGUUCCCGACCAACCAAAUCCCACUCCACUCUCCAAUCCCACAGAAUAACAUCAAAGGCUCUGAUAACUAACGUCUAUCCAGUACCACCAAUCGGAUGUUGUCGUGCG
rnacentral:lncRNA from 1 species